UAAAAAUAGGCAAAUUAUUUAUGACAUUUAAACGAACAAUUAAUAUCCGCAGUUUAUGGGGAAUUGGAAAAUUCAAAAGGCAUUUCCUUUAAUUCGCUACAUUUUUAACGAAAUGCAUGAAAAACGUUCAUUGUAUUAUAUAAAAUGUAGUAUAAGCCUUUGCACUGUUUUUAACCCCCCGAACCAGCAACGAAGAAGUGUCAAAAUAUAAGUAUGUACAUCUGUGAACAAUAUUCAUUCGUUAAAUACACAUAUAUAUGUAUGUAUGCAUAUUCGUCCUGUCAGAAGUCCUAUUAGACAGAAAAAGAUCAGAUCAUAGAAAGAGAUUUUCUAAUGGACAAUUGCUCUACAAGCCAACAAGCCUAUUCUUCGAACUGGGUCUGAACGAAAUUGAAAACGAUUAUGGAUUUACGCCUAUAGGAUAUACUAUAUACAUACAUACAUACAUAUGUAUGUAUUUACAUAUAAACCGAAGUGCAUCGUCGAGCUCAUACAAAUGCAUCGAUAUGCGACCAAUGAUCCAACAAAUCGAACCAAAUUUUCACAAUAGUUUCCAGUACAUGUUGUAUCUCUUUCCCGCAUUUGCCUAAAAGCAAAUCUAUGGCGGCCACAAUCAUGUGAAAUUAGGUAUUUCACAACAUCAAAUUUCGGCAAUGGUGAAAUUUUCUUGUAUAAAUCCAAAUACAUGCCAGCAAUGGAUCCAGUACUACUAAAACGGUUCAUAGUUCAUUUUUGGAGAAAAGUAUUAAAGAAAAAAAGUUUCACCAUGAGGAUGACACGGAUUGAGCCCAAUCUUGUUGCUUUGGCCGAGAAAUAUAAUGUGAAUAAAAUGAUCUGCCGCAAAUGUUACGCCCGUCUGCCGCCGCGGGCCACCAAUUGUCGGAAGAAGGACUGUCAUUCCAGCGAUUUGCGUCCCAAAAAGAUAUUGAAGGAUUACAAAUAAAUGUGUACAAAUACUGCGACCAAACUACCUCUACAUAUUUAUGGAAUGAUACAUGUAUAAAAUGUGAUUAUAAAUUAUACUGCCGUCGAUACCUCUGGAGGCAGUCUCCAAUAAUAUUUGUAAUCAAACAAUCAUAUUAUUAUGUAUUAUUAAACAUUUAAUAUACUGCGUACUUGUUGUAUAAGUAUUUUUUUUUUACUUUUUUAAUAAAAUCAUUUACAAUAAA